rnacentral:lncRNA from 1 species
UCAGUGAUCUAGUAAAUGUCACAGAUUGGACCUCAUUCCUUCAGCCUCACAGUACUGUGCAUAGUGUUUGGGCAUUAGGACCCCUUUACCAGAACAUCAGGAUAUAAAUUUUCCAGCACAUUAAUGGGAUUUGCCAAGUGUGUUAAGAGUUCAAGUGUAUACCAUGCCCAGUAAACAACCUGCAGGAAGUAGUGGGGAAAAAGGGCACGAGACAAGGUAGAAAGUAUAGAAAUAAAAUUAGCAUUGUUUGGGAGACACCAAAAAAGACAUGUGCAAGACUGGCUCUUCCCCCCACGCCCCAAGCACUCAUACCAAGCUAGGAUUCCAUAGGCUAGGGCUUUGGGCCAGGGAGCUGAUGCUGCUGGUGUGACUUGGUUUAAAAGUCCUAGCUGACACGGUUCAAGCUUCCUGUUCCUCCAGCCACCUUGUGCAGGACCGUUUGUCCUGCUUUCCUGCUGUGUUGCUCUCUUAGUUUGACAUUUGUUUAUGGCUGACCCCAGAGUCUGAUGCAUCUCCUGAAUCGAUCUGAAUGUCCCUCCUGACCCCUCCAGGUGUGAGCACCAGCCAUUGGUCCCACAGACCUUGAGGUCAGAGUAUGUAAAAAUGCUUGUAAAUAUUGUAACAUACUCAUUAAUAUUUGAAAGUCAUUCUGUCAUUGGCAAUGGAAAUUAAUUCUCCCAAGAUAAGCAAAAAUUAAAUAAUUGAUUUUGCACAUUGACUUAAUGACCUUAAUUACUUGAUUUCAAGUCUCAGCCCUUUAAAAUUAAACCCAAAAGUUAUUAUACAGUCAUUCUAAAAAUGAUGUUUUGAAGAGAUAUGUGGUUAAUACCGUGAACUCACGCCAUGAAAUCUGUAAGGUUUUUAUUUUUCUAACUGUACUAAUGGAGGACUAAACUUGAGGUAUGAAUGUAGGAGACAUGGAAGUUUUUAAAUUAUGUUGCUAUUUGUUCAAAUAAAACAGAAAUUUUGCACAUUGAAGGACCAUGAAGAAAUGUGUCCCACUGACUGGGCUCUGACCUGGCUUCCCAAAUGUAAGCAGAGAAUGGCUGACAUUCCAGGGAAAACGACAGUGCUGAGUGUGCUCCAGUGAGUAGUAUUUCAGCCAGGAGUGAUGCCACAUGCCUUUAUUUCCAGCAUUCCAGAAGUAGAAGCAGAAAAUCUUUGGGAUUUCAGGGCCAGCCUGGUCUACACAGUGAGACCUUGUCUCUCUCUCUCUCUCUUUUUUUUUAAGGUAUUUUAUUUUAGAAUUUUUGAAGGGGGAAAUAAACUGGCUUUCAUC